rnacentral:rRNA from 1 species
GUGGGGAAUAUUGGACAAUGGGCGAAAGCCUGAUCCAGCCAUGCCGCGUGUGUGAAGAAGGUCUUCGGAUUGUAAAGCACUUUAAGUUGGGAGGAAGGGCAGUAAGUUAAUACCUUGCUGUUUUGACGUUACCGACAGAAUAAGCACCGGCUAACUUCGUGCCAGCAGCCGCGGUAAUACGAAGGGUGCAAGCGUUAAUCGGAAUUACUGGGCGUAAAGCGCGCGUAGGUGGUUUUGUAAGUUGGAGGUGAAAUCCCCGGGCUCAACCUGGGAACUACCUCCAAAACUGCAUGACUAGAGUACGGUAGAGGGUAGUGGAAUUUCCUGUGUAGCGGUGAAAUGCGUAGAUAUAGGAAGGAACACCAGUGGCGAAGGCGACUACCUGGACUGAUACUGACACUGAGGUGCGAAAGCGUGGGGAGCAAACAGGAUUAGAAACCCGUGUAGUCC